UUUCAGCAAUUUGGCCCUGGCAACCGUGCCUCAGGGCCGGCGCUGGUGGAGACUUGUCUCGUGUUGGGCCACACAUUUGUGGUGUGACAUCAUUUACCUGAUUUACUCUAGUGGCCUCGACGAGGUCAGGAAGACGGCGGUUUGUCGAAGCCCAAGUAGCUGGAUGGUAGAACAACGGUCUGGCCUCUAUCCUCUCACCUUCGUCACGACUAAAAUCCAUCACCAACAAGUAAAGAAUUUACAACAUUUAUGUAUGUUUUGGUGUCCCAGACAAUGUUAGACGUCCAGACAGUCAACUACUCCUAUCCUCCCCCCUCCCAUCAACUUCUUCAAGACCCAGACGUACCGGCACUCAUAAUGUAACCAGCAACUAGUUUAAGGAAGUGUUGGCACAGGAUGUUAUGUCACCAGGAGGGGUAUAUAUAGCACCUGAUUGGCUCGCUUAAGUCAGUCUCUGCAGGUGGUCUCAACAGAGGUGUUUCAACAUUGCUUGCUGCCCAUGAUCCACGGAACCCAUUUCGUGCCCAGUUUGUGGUGUUUGGAAUAUUAAUUCGUAAGCCCCUUUUUUGCUUGAAUAUUAUUGUUUAAUGUAAAUUUAAAUUUCAUGUGUUCUCUUUAUUAUUGGUAUCGUAUAGCAGUCAAGAUUUGUAUGUCAAGCUUUGAAGUCAUUUAUUUUUUGGUUUCUUUUUUGGAAGUAAAUUUGUUAUAUUUU
rnacentral:lncRNA from 1 species